GUCUUCACUGCAAUCUUCUCAUCAUGCUUCUCUUUCUCUUGUUGUAGAUUUAGAUUUAGUUUUUUCUUCUUUCUUUUCUAGCGAGUCGGUUGUAAUCGGCUUAACUCUAUAUUCUUUUUACUCCUCUUAAUGAAAUGAAAACAUCACGUAAUUUUUUACUAGCUUUUGAUCAUUUCAUCGAGGACCAAAAUAUUUAUAUUGUUGAAAUUUUAAACCCUAGG
rnacentral:lncRNA from 1 species